rnacentral:rRNA from 1 species
CUCAGUUCGGAUUGAAGUCUGAAGUUCGACUUCAUGAAGCUGGAAUUGCUAGUAAUGGCAGGUCAGCAUACUGCCGUGAAUACGUUCCCGGGCCUUGUACACACCGCCCGUCACACCAUGAGAGUCGGGAACACCCGAAGUCCGUAGCCUAACCGCAAGGGGGGCGCGGCCGAAGGUGGGUUCGAUAAUUGGGGUGAAGUCGUAACAAGGUACC